GCACCCGCAGCACCGUUCACCGUUUAUGCGAGGCGACCAAUAAGCACGGAUGUUUAGGAAAAUGUUAUCAAUCCUCCCGAUCAGCAGCAGCAGUUUUCCAGCAUCACCCUUUCAAGCAGCAGCCUAGCAACAGCUGACUAUGAAGACUCCUUCCGGUUUUUCCGGCCUAUUUGCCCCAACAUGGCCAAACAAUCAGCUGUAGCAAUAUGUAAAUCGAUAUCAAUCCGACUGUGACUGAUGCGCGGUAGCAGGCACGACGGGAUAAAAACGCCAACUGGAGGAGGUCAACGAUCCGAAAGUGUAUAAUUCCAACGGUAGAAAAGAGGACAGCGAAUCUCACAAUCCAAAUGUGGAGGAUACCUCUGCCGUUGCAUAAUCGGGUCUGCCCUUGUUCCGGAAAGUAACAUCUUCUCUCAUGAAAAGAAAUAUUGAGCGUCACAACAAUUGUAGCUUUCACUGUACUAGCAGCAAUGGAUCGCAAUUACGCGGGAUCUUGGAAGGAAAAGAAAAAAAACCAUCCGGCUUCCACAGAACGAGCUGUUUGGUCUCUGCUCCUGAUCCGAUGGAAGCUCACGGAAUGACGCCAAAAGUAAUGCCAGCAGAAAGGAACAGAAACGAAAAAACUGCAGCAACAUAAAAAAUCAAGAUUUCCAGGGAAUUCCGGAAGUCUUACAAAUAUUUGUCUUUGGUACAAGUAAGUCCUCUUCGGCCAUGGAUCGAAUGGUUUUAGUGUAAUUUUGUGAACGAGUGACUUUUAUUUUAGUGAUGUAAGCCAUUUAUGUAUGUAUA